UUAGGCAGGUGAACUCAGGUCAAGCCAGAGCCCCGCCGCGGCCACGCAGCCUGUGCGUGAUGUCCGAGUAACAGUGGACGCCGCAGGAUUUGUGCAGGAUCUCAUCCAGCUCUUGCUUGCGCGGGGAGAGAUAUCGGCGUAGGUAGGUUUCAGCGAAGCCAUUAUUGCUAAGGUAUAGAUGUGAAAAGCAGCAGAAACCAAACCCCCAACAGCACGGAUUUUCCCCUCCGCGCCCCCCCCCAGGUCCCUUUUUCUAUUUAUGUAUGCGCGUAUGUACAUAUAAAAGAUGGAACACAGAUUUCAUUGAAUAAAUCUGAGGUCUCCAGGUGCAGACGUCUGCAGGGUCGGUGCCAGCACCCCGUGUUUCCCUUUCCUGCCGAUUUUGCUUGGAUCCGGCUCAAAAACCCAGAGUCUCGUGGUUUUGUUUACACUGAAUGGGGAGGAUAGGAACAGAGCCAUGGGCCGUCUUUCAUUAAUAUACAGUGAGGAUUUUGUCUAAAUUACUGCUAUGAAUUUCACAGUACACGCUUUCAAAAGCAGUCUCAGGUGGCCUGAUGAAACGCGAUAGCGCCUCUGCAAACAGAUCCGCUUUCUUUCUCCUCCAGGAGGGCGUGCGUGCUGUGGGAAGCCCCCCGAACGCAGCGCUCCUCCGUCAGAGAAAUACACUGCUACUCUGAGGUUCGUCCCCGCCGUCUCCCCUUUUCUCCUACUUAGUUCUCCAGUCGCUCCCGAGCCUCCCCCAGCCUCACUCCACUUGCCCCCUCCCUCUGCGAGUGUGAUUGUUUUGUCUGGAAAAAAAAAAUCCAAAGUAUAUAACAAGGGGAGAACAGUUAGUGCUGAUUUUCAUUUGCAUACAUUUUCAUAUAUUUUGGUGAAAAUAAUAGACUAGUGGAGAGCUGGGCUCUGAGGAGUCAGUGUGAGGGGAAGGCUAAGGCUGCAUCGUUCUGGGGAGUUGAGAAUAUGCAUUCACCGCCUCCCGUCACUUGAUUGAAAAAAAAAAUCUCUUAUUUUAAAAUCUAACCCCGGAAGUUUGUUGGACCAUCAUGGAGACCAGAAAACAAGGCGAGGAAACUGACAACUCAAAGAAGAUGCCUUACUUUCCCCAGGCCCUGUGGCACACGGCAGAACUGGGGUGCCCCUGAGACGGCAGGCUGGUCUCGCCCCCGGAGGUGAUGGGUUUCUCUCACAGAAAGCAGCGGCGAGGGUAUUGAAAGAUGGUCGUCAAGCUCCUGGGACAGAAGCAGGCGAAGCUGUUAGGCAAGGUGGUUUGCGUGUCCUCCUCAUGCCAGGCCUGUGCUGGGCUUGGGGACCAAGGAAAGGGACAGGAUGAUCCUGACUUUCUGGAGCCCACAGCUGUGCUGCGGCGGGAGUGGGAGCAUCACGGUAUGUGGCAGCGGAGGCAGUGGCAGGAGCCUGCCAGAGGCCCUGUGAGCCAAACCAGGAGAGAAGAGCUGGGACCAUCGGUGAACACCAGGCCCUGGAUGGAGACCCCGCGGACUCCAGCUCGGACUCUCCCAGGAACGCGCAGAGCCGUGCGGUGGGGAGCUGGUCAGGAUGCGGUCUGAGAGGCCAGCAGGCAUGGGGCAUGCCAGGUCUCAGCGUGGUGCAUGUUUAGGAGUUCGCUGUUGCCCUAGGUAUGGAGGCCAGUACGUGUGCUCAGACCAACAUCAGGCAGCGGAGGCUGAGCCUGAACUCAGCGUGUGUCAGGGUUUGUUGAGUGAGUGCAAAGUCUGUUUUAAAAGGCGAUGUUCCAUGCUCAGAACACAUCUUACUUGAUUUUUAAACUUUGGUUUUGACUUCUAUCACACAAAACAUCCUUCAUGUAGUGUAAUUUUCUCCGAAAGACCGCGUUACAGUGAUGAGAACACAGUCCCAAGUCUGGUGCUGAGCACCGCGCCUGGAGUCACAGCAAAGGUUAAUGAGACGCCCUGCUGCAGGGGUCGCGGGAAGUGCUGUUAUACACGGUCACGUCCCACCUUUGGCAUCACCCAGCACGCCAGGCUGAGCUGGCAGCACCCCGCUGUCUCCCUGCUGUGGAUGGCGGAGAAGUGGGAAGACCUGGUGGCCCUGCGAGCAGUCCCAGGAGCAGGGCCUCUGUCCGGGUGAGCUGUGAGUCCAGGGCCGACGGUGGCCGCCAUGGCACAGGGAGCCACAUGGCUCCUGGGCCUCAGGGGCUCCUGCUGCUGGCGUGGUGGAACAGGAAGGAGCCCCUGGCUGGGGAAGGAGCCCCUGGCCGGGGUCUGCGCCCCAGGGAGAUAAGGAACAGCCCACAGAUCUCACUCUAUGGCCCUGAAUCCCACACCUGAUGAGGCUCCCAAGUCUUGAGGAGCCUGAGGUGGUCAGUGGAAGGUCCCUUGUUCUCCUCCCAUUCCAGUUAAUGACGUGGAGGUGUGAGGAUUUUUUAGGUGUCACCUCAAUGUAGAUUAGCAUUUGGGUCCUUUGUCAUCCUGGAUCCCUUGCCUGUUCUCCUCCUCUUCCUUGAACUUGCGUCCAAUGAGCCUGCUGUGGGUCACUAGAAUCACCUUUGUUGUCUGUGGUGCGGAGAGCCGUUUUAGCAUUUGGGACACAUCCGUGGCAUUCAGACUCGUUUCUGUAGAUCUGCGUUUCCUCUCAGAAUCCCACAGGCAGUUCUUGGGGCAAAACCAUUCCUUUGCAACUUAAUUAUCAGCAUGUGGAAUACAGUAUUCCCUGUCUGAGCUGGAAUGGAAGGAACCCAUCAUCUUUGAGUCCUACCUCUUCAGAAAAAUGGCAGCUGCCGCCAGAUGUGAACUGGACACUUGAAAUUGGCAAACAGCUGGGAGUUAGUGUGAGGGAGAGAAACAGACAUGGGCGUGGGGCUGGGUACAGGUGGGUUCCGGAUCAGCUCUGCACUUACUGAUGUGGGACUUCGGAAUAGACACUUUUCGUGAUCACCCUGAGGCCUGUUUCUCCAUCUUUAAAGGGGGUGGUGCAGAGGCAGGCUCAUGGAGUGCUGGUGACGAUUCACAGAGGGGAACUGAAAUGUCUGGCACACGAGGGACACACAAGAAACAUUAGUUUCUAUGACCCUCUACAGUCAAUAAGCUAAUGAAUCCUCCCCAAAUAGCUUCUCCUUUAGAGUAGAAUCCCACUCAUUUUCACCACAGGACACCGGAAGGAUGUUAGGGUCCUUUGUUUGGUUUGUGGUGAGUUGACUUUGCACUUUAAAAGGGAAAGAAGGAAACCUGUGGUACCUCAAACAAUGAGCCUUUUCAAAGCCUGCAUUGGACUCCCAUUUCAAAGAAUAUUCUUAUUAACAUACUUUCUUAUAAAUAGAACACUACUCAUGAAAUAUUCAUAAGCCAUGGCCCAGAAGCCAGUGCCGCGCUGGGCCAGCGCAGGACAUCUCCCGUGCGCUGUGGCGUGGCGGAGGCCGGAGCCGGUGGGCUUGUGGCCUGGUUUGGGGGCUCUGGCAUGAGCCUGUCCUGGCCUGGUUCCUCCCGGCGCUGGGCCUGUUCUGGAGCCUGUCGGACUCCCACGCAGCCGGCUCUGUAGGCGACUCCUUUUGAAGUCCACGGGAGCUCUUUGAUGCAAGAAAGAGUCAGGCCUGAUGUACAUGGGGGAAUAGUGGUGCUUCUCACCCCAAAUAUUAGCAGAAAGUAUGGUUUUAUUAUUAAAUAAAAGACCCCCCCAAGAAACCCCACCAUCUACCUCCCAAGCUCCACCUUCCAUUUGCUGGGGAAGUGAUGAGCCUGCUAAUUGCCUGGGAGUUUAAUUAAGCAGCGGAUGCAGACAAUGCAGGCUCUGUUUUUACUUUAAACACAUCAGUAAAACAAACAUUCUCAAUUCCAGGGCAACUUGCUAAAUAAAAAAUAAACAUUACUAUCCUUUGAAAUAUCACCCAUUGAGUGUGAUAAUUUUGAAAAAUAUCUCUAUUACAGAGAGUUGCAGAUAUUUUUGGUUGGAAAUGCAAUCGCCAAUUGAGCACAAAUCUGCAAUUUGUAGACAGGUUAAGUAAAUUAUAUCACUCACUGUCUUUUUUUUUCUGGUAGCUUUAAAAGUUAAAGUAAUUUGCAAAGAAAAUGCUCAAUUUGAAUUGGUUUGUAAUAUCUGUUAAUGAUCUUUUAAAAACCCCACUUAUUCACAACUCCGUCCCUGAGGGAACCCGGUGAGCGAUCAGAAAAAUGCCUGAAGUCUGAGGUGUCAUUAGCUAGUAUUUCUUUGAAAUAAAAAGCCCUAAAAAUAAAUUAUACAAGGUACACAAGUGCACAGGACAAUCACCUUGAUGAAUGAUCUCUGUGUUUUUCUUUCCUAAAAAUGCGCCUUUGAAAUUCAAGCUGCUAAAUGUUUUCGGAAUUACCUCAGUGUAGGCAUACCUGCUCUGUUUAUUUCACACAUAUAUUGAGACCACCCAUAUAUUUCUGGGUAGUUGAUACAAAAACAGUUGUGUGAGGAACAAUUUUGACGAUAUUCAUUGUGUUUCCUUCUGGAAACGCAAGGCGUUGCCUGAAUACAGGCCUACAGGUGUUACCACCCUGAAGUAAAACAAGAGCCCGUUUCAGUGCAGCCCCUGCACCCCAGGCCAGGUGCCGGCGGAGGUGCAGACGCUGCGAAGCCCCUCCGAUGGGCCAAUAUUAGGUAGCAGAGCUGUGAAACGCUACACCAAAGCGAGCCUUCCUUCCUGGCCCCAGCCAGCCAUGGUCAGGCCUGGAGGCUGGGAGCCUUUGUAAGACAAUAUUGGUCCGAGUAACUGAAGAUGCCUGUUUGGCUACUGUAAAUACUAUAAAUAGCUUCUGCUUCUUCUUUUUUUUUUCUUUAGAGGGAGGAGUUGGAUUUUACUAACCCAUUGGCUACAGGUUAAUUAUACUUUUCAUAAGACAGCAUUUCCUUGUAGCCAGUCUAAAUUUAUCUUUAAUCCUUCUUUAUAUAAAAAGGUGAGGCCCUUCAUUGUCAUUAUUUUGCACAUUGCGCCUUCAACUUUUCUUUUUUCCUCCUCACACAUUGCUCACCGCUCAGCUAAACUGCAAAGGGGGCCAGUGACACUCAUCGACCUGCCAUCCGUGUGGUUCUUGCUCUCUUCUGCUCUGUACGCGACGUCCGGGGAGCCAGCUGAGCACAGGGAACAGCCACUGACCGAUUUUCAUAAAGAUCUUCUGUGGUAUGUUCCGUGCAAGCCCUCCAUUUACUUCACGUCAGGAAUAGAAAUCAGCAUUUGAAACUAGUUUCCAAGCAUUGCUGGGGCUCCAGGAUUGCGAAGAGCAGAAGCUUGGACUUGAUGGCUUCCCUGCACAUCCUGCAAGCACCGGGGCAAGGAGAACUGAGCCAGCCCUCCGUGGCCGGGAUGGCCUCCCCUUCCGAGAUAACCACUGCCCUGAUUUCUGAAGCCAGAGCUUUGUUUUGUUUUUGAGUGGCUUAUAAAUGGAGUCCUAAGGUCAUGGAGCUCCACCCGAUAGCUCAGUGCAUCGAGUGGAGUGGAUGUGCCACUGUCCCCGGAGUUGGAUGUCAGGAGCUACGGAGCCCGGCGUGGCAUUUACCACUUUCAGAGCUGGCAGCCUGGCCGAGGAGAUGGGACAAGAACUCAGGAAGCAAUCCCUGUAGCUGCUAAACUGGGAUUGUGCUGAGGACACCAAAGAGGACUGCCCUCUGGCUCCUCCCUUUAGAUUGGAGCAACGGGUACUCCGCUCACCUGCUUUGUGCACGUCCUUCUCACACAGCGAGUGAAGAGCUGAAUGGGAACAUUUAGAUGCAAAAACAAAAAUGCACUUGGAUGUUUCUGGGCUCCAGAGCCAGCAAGGAAGGAAGGAUUGGGCUUGCGGUGUUGGUGCCCAGGGGGGCACUGCCUGCCCCCGAGGUCCGGCCGCCCCCUCCGGAGCCCACAGCGCUGUAGGGCGGUAGGGAUUGUGGGCCCGAGGUCUUGGUCUUCCCAUCAAAGAUAGAGUCUGCACAAGGCUCCGCACCCAGACAGUCCUGGGACACUUCCUGCUAAGAGAGGCGUCUAGAAGCGUGUGGCCCACAGCCAGCUUCCCCAAAGCCCUUCACUUUCUCCUGAGACAUGAAGCCAACUAGCUGGGGACUCCACUUCAGGACAGAGGCUAAGUUAUUGCCUCUGAAAUGUGAGUAGAAGUGAUAUGUGCAGCAUCUACUUCCUGUUUUAACUGGAAAUCGCUCUUCCUAGACUUCCUGUGGCCUGGGACCUGGAUGUGCUGGUGACGCCAUUAAACCAGGCAGCAGAGCAGACGAGCAGCCUGGAGGCAGGUCUGGCCUCUUCUCUGAGAAACAGGCCAGCCGCAGCUGGGCCAGCUCCAGGGAGUUCUGAGAAAGGAAAGGCAGUCCAGUCUUAGUGGAUCUGUUGGAUCAAAGAGUAAAGUUUUUUACCUUGAAAAAUAUAGACAAUGUCUGGGCGUGGAAGUAGAGCUCUGGCUGCCAGUCAGUAGCUCGCAUCCCUUCAUCCUCCCCUGCUGUCCUUCCUCCCGCACAUGCUUAUUGAGCAUCCACUCUGUCUGAGCAGCAUGAAGCUGCCGGUGAUGGUAGGCAGCAGAGCCAUGGCCCUCUCCUGAAGCCGGCGUCCUCGUAGGGCAGACAGACAGAAACAAGCAGGCAGACUAAUUAAAACACCCACAGACCUGUUUCUGGAGAAAGAACUGGGAAAAGCCCCCGACAACCACUAAUCUGAGCUUUGUCUGGAUGGACACCCUCCUGGGCAUUUCACAUCCACGAAUCCUACAACAGUGGCCGCUGAGUCUUCUUUCACGUCCCAGGACUCCCAGGACGUCCUCAAGGCUCGUCUGUGCCUCCGCGUCUACAGACCCCUUCCUUUGCGAUGCCCGAGUAAUCCUCCAUUGCACCUCCGUUGCCCGUAUUUUUCUAAAUAAAGUUUUCACCGACA